rnacentral:piRNA from 1 species
UGAAAUGGAAGUAAUGAAAGGUUUUGGA